AUGGCUGAAAAGGACUUUGUAAAAAUUCCAGAAUUUGAUAGAAAUAAUUAUAUGAACUGGAGGUAUCGUUCAAUUGCUUAUCUGAAAGCAAAAGAAUGUGCAGAAGUGAUAAAUGGUGACAUCAAACCAGACUCAAUAACAAAUGAAGCUUGGAAAGGAAAGAUGUACAAAACUAAGAAUUGGCUACAAAGUGAUUCUAAACUAGAAAUUAUUAAAGAUAAAGUGUCGGCUUAUGUAAUGCUGCAAAAGUUUAAUUCCUUGUAUGCUGUGCAAGAUACUCAAAAGAAACUGCACACUCAAAAACAGUUGCUAAAUCUCAAAUUUCAAGAAAAUAUAGAUCCAAAUGAGUUUCUCACACUUUUUGAGAAAUACAUGAGUGACUUAAAAUCAGCAGGUGAAGUUCUGCCAGAACAAUCAAAAUUAACUUAUUUUCUAUUGGCCCUUCCACCAAGUAUGAGUUCAAUAGUAGAAACAAUAGAUGCUACACCUACCAACAAUUAACCAAAAUGUCACAUAUAUGAAACUCAAGAUAAAAUCAAUGUACAAGUUGUCACUCAAUGCAACUAACUUGUAUCCUCAGUCAGAAUAAUAUGUCAAGAGUCAAAAGCAAACUCAAAAUCAAGAUGGAUAAUCACAAGGAGGCGCAUAGCAACAAAAAUUGUUGCGUUCAGUCACAACUUAUAGAUGCCGUGUGGCUAAAUGUAAAAAUUAAAAAUGGGUAUGGCUAAAAGCAACAAAUUUAUUUUAUUUUUCUUGAUUGAAUUUUUAGAAUGCACCAUUUAUUAAUAUUUUGCCUCAGAGACAGAGGAUGAUCAUGUGCAUAUAAAUCGACACUUUACGAAGAACUAAAACAAACUUCUAAUGUAACCUAAUUUAAUCUAAACUAACAUAACACUAAAGUUGCUAAUGUAAUCAUGAAGUCGCUAACGUCAUCCUAUAGUCGCUAACGUCAUCGUAUAGUUGCUAACGUCAUCCUAUAGUAGCUAACGUCAUCCUAUAGUUGGGAACGUCAUCUUAAAGUUGCUGAUGUCAUCAUAAAGUCUGUGGCUGACUGGAACAAAUUUUGUUGCGUAGCGCCGCAAGCCGUGGCUGAAUAAACAAAUACCUACGAAUCUUCUAAAUUUAAGGAGGCAAGUUGAGAUAAGGCAAUUAUCACUGCAUAUCACUGAUUGUUAUCAAUCAAUUGAUUGUGCUGAGGCUUCCAGAACACGAUUCGAUAUAUAUGUCCAACUUGUUGUUCUCUGCCUGUAUUCCAUGAAGCAAAGAAUAAAGAGUUUGUGUGUGAGGAUCAAUUGAGUGUACUUAUUCCGAGUAUCGUUUAUCAUAACAGAUACAGGACUUUUAAAGGAAGCAUGCUAAGGAAACUAAGGGGGGAAUGACGAGGCGGUGAGUUAAUAUAUGAAACUAGUGAAACACCAAAGCCAAAAGGAAGCGAUUAAAUUAUGAAACAGCAACUUUG
rnacentral:lncRNA from 1 species